rnacentral:rRNA from 1 species
UACGGGGGGGGGCAAGCGUUGUUCGGAAUUACUGGGCGUAAAGGGUGCGUAGGUGGCUCGCUAAGUCACACGUGAAAUCCCUCAGCUUAACUGGGGAACUGCGUCUGAGACUGGUGAGCUUGAGUGCAGGAGAGGAACGCGGAAUUCCAGGUGUAGCGGUGAAAUGCGUAGAUAUCUGGAGGAACACCGGUGGCGAAGGCGGCGUUCUGGACUGCUACUGACACUGAGGAACGAAAGCCAGGGGAGCAAACGGG